rnacentral:rRNA from 1 species
UACAGGGGGUGCUAGCGUUGUUCGGAAUUACUGGGCGUAAAGGGCGCGUAGGCGGCUUUGUAAGUCAGAUGUGAAAUCCCCGGGCUUAACUCGGGACGUGCAUUUGAAACUGCGAGGCUAGAGUGCAGUAGAGGAUGGUAGAAUUCCCAGUGUAGAGGUGAAAUUCGUAGAUAUUGGGAGGAAUACCGGUGGCGAAGGCGGCCAUCUGGGCUGUAACUGACGCUGAGGCGCAAAAGCGUGGGGAUCAAACAGG